GAUCCUAGCUCAGGAUGAACGCUGGCGGCGUGCCUAACACAUGCAAGUCGAACGGAGCUGCUUUGAUGAAGUUUUUCGGAUGGAUUUAAAGCAGCUUAGUGGCGGACGGGUGAGUAACGCGUGGGUAACCUGGCCUCACACUGGGGGAUAACAGUUAGAAAUAGCUGCUAAUACCGCAUAAGCGCACGGUUCCGCAUGGAACAGUGUGAAAAACUCCGGUGGUGUGAGAUGGACCCGCGU
rnacentral:rRNA from 1 species